UACGUAGGGUGCGAGCGUUAAUCGGAAUUACUGGGCGUAAAGCGUGCGUAGGCGGUUCGCUGUGUCCGAUGUGAAAGCCCCGGGCUUAACCUGGGAAUGGCAUUGGAAACUGGCGGGCUUGAGUGCGGCAGAGGGGGGUGGAAUUCCGCGUGUAGCAGUGAAAUGCGUAGAUAUGCGGAGGAACACCGAUGGCGAAGGCAAUCCCCUGGGCCUGCACUGACGCUCAUGCACGAAAGCGUGGGGAGCAAACAGG
rnacentral:rRNA from 1 species